rnacentral:rRNA from 1 species
UACAGGGGGUGCAAACGUUGCUCGGAAUCAUUGGGCGUAAAGCGCACGUAGGCGGUCUGUUAUGUCGGAUGUGAAAGCCCUUGGCUCAACUGAGGAAGUGCAUCCGAAACUGGCAGGCUAGAGUACUAAAGAGGAUCGCGGAAUUCCCGGUGUAGAGGUGAAAUUCGUAGAUAUCGGGAGGAACACCGGUGGCGAAGGCGGCGACCUGGUCCGAUACUGACGCUGAGGUGCGAAAGCGUGGGGAGCAAACAGG